UGCCUCCGAGGCGGCCCCUCUCCCGGGCCUGGCUCUGGCUUCUGGCGGAACCCUCGGCCCGGCCCGAUUUCCAGCACCCCGUCUGUUCUGGAAAAGCCUGUCUGGCCACAGGGGUCCUCUGAGCAGGUUUCCAGGGAAAAGCAUCUGUGUGUGCAAGGAGAUGCAGCUCAGGAGGGGAAGGAGACUACCAGGGGGCCAGAAUUCCUGUGUCUCACUUGCUCAGCAGAAGGGACAGUGUGGACCCCAGAAUCCAACAGAUGAGUUUGUUUCCUCGGAGGAAUGGACAGACCAGUGCUGGGAGAGGAAGUGGGGCAGGAGAGACUGUGAAGAGAACAGCCGGAACUCACAGCACAUCCCCAAGACAGAAAACUAAAUCGUGACGCAUCUGUAACCUUCCUUAUGAGACUCGCUUAGAUGCCCAAAAUGAAAUAGCUGGGGCCGUGACCAACCCUCUGUGUGAUGGCGCUCAGUUUUCCAGGGACAAAGAGCCAGGAAAUUAACCGUUUCCAACAAGAGCCCAAGAGGCAGGCUGCUUCCUCUGCCAGCACCUUUGAACUGCAGUGCUUCAUCACAUCCCUCAGGAUUCUUCGGGAAGCCGUCUUAGGGCCUCCUGAUCUAGAGUACCCCAGUGUGGCAGGAAUCAGCUUAACAAUUCUUUCACCUGUCACCGUCCCAGGGCAUAAACUACCUUCCAGCAAUGAGCACUAGGGCACAUUAGAGUUACCUGUUCACCGCUCAUCUUCUAUCCUUUUUUAAAGACUGGGAACUUGGUCAGAGUUCUGCAAUGACUCCUAAGAAGAAUAGGAAGGGCAGCAUUUAACAGUAACAGUGAGAGGGGCAGGCCAGCUAUCCUUUAAUCUUUGCCCUAGCAGAUCAAGAGACCAAAAAGAGUGACAGCCGGGCGGGCGUGGUGGUGCACACCUGUAAUCCCAGCACUCAG